rnacentral:lncRNA from 1 species
GCUUCAGCAAGACGCUGGGCAUCAAGCUGAAGAAGAAUAUGGGCGGGCUGGGCGGCCUGGUGCACGGUAAGAUGGGUCGUGCCAACUCUGCCAAUGGCAAAAACGGCGACAGCACCGAGCGCAACAAGGAGAAAAAAUCCAAGUCGCGCAAGGGCAGCAAAGAGGAAUCUGGAGCAUCAGCUAGCACCUCGCCGUCGGAGAAGACCACGCCGUCGCCCACGGACAAGGCGGCAGGAGCAUCGCCCGCCGACAAGGGCAGCGGGUCAAGGAGCGACGCCUGGAAGUACAGCACGGACGUAAAGCUGAGCCUCAACAUCCUGCGCGCCGCCAUGCAAGGCGAGCGCAAAUUCAUCUUCGCCGGCCUGCUGCUCACCAGCCACCGGCACCAGUUCCACGAAGAGAUGAUCGGCUACUACCUGACCAGCGCGCAGGAGCGCUUUAGCGCGGAGCAAGAACAGCGGCGGCGGGACGCCGCGGCGGCGGCCG